rfam:Cylindrobasidium torrendii FP15055 ss-10 unplaced genomic scaffold CYLTOscaffold_130, whole genome shotgun sequence.
ACGCCAUUGGUGAAACGGUUAUCAUGCUUGCCUUCCAAGCAAGCGGCGCCGGUUCGACUCCGGCAUGGCGUA